UACGUAGGGAGCAAGCGUUAUCCGGAUUUACUGGGUGUAAAGGGAGCGCAGACGGCGAUGCAAGCCAGGAGUGAAAGCCCGGGGCCCAACCCCGGGACUGCUCUUGGAACUGCGUGGCUGGAGUGCAGGAGGGGCAGGCGGAAUUCCUGGUGUAGCGGUGAAAUGCGUAGAUAUCAGGAGGAACACCGGUGGCGAAGGCGGCCUGCUGGACUGCAACUGACGUUGAGGCCCGAAAGCGUGGGGAGCAAACAGG
rnacentral:rRNA from 1 species